ensembl:lncRNA
GCAAGAUUGGCAUCCGCCUAUGCCAAUUUGUAAAUACUUUUGGAAAUGCCCUUUGCCCAGGAGGCACUUGGCGAAACCUCUUGCUUACUGUGUGGCCAGCCAGCCGUAGGAGAGGUUGAAGCCCAGCUCGGCAGGCUUGUGCUGUGGAACCAGAGGAGGCAGCCUGAUUGGCCGGGCAGGCACGGUGCUGCGGGGCCCCUGGCCUGACCACCCAACAGGUCAGAGCCGUUAAAGCAGGGCAGGACCCGAGAGGGGGGACUGAGAUGCACGAUCGCUCACCCAUCCCCGCAAGGCUGAGGAUCUGCACAAACCUGCUGUCGGUGACGUUUUUCUUGAGAACAUUGGAGAAAUCUGAAUGUUGAAUGAGUGUUACAAAAGCCACAGCUUAGAACGCAAACUCCACCUGAGUUUGACCCGUGCUGAGUUGCUUCAGUUGUGUUCAACUCUUUGUGACCCUAUGCACUGUAGCCCACCAGGUUCCGCUGUCCAUGGGAUUUCCCAGGCAAGAAUACUGCGAAGGGCCGUAUCAUCCUGGGCCUCCCCUGGCAAGCUCACCUCUCACAAGGCUGUGGCUCAACUCCUCUGGGUCUUGUGUGCGGGGCAGCGAUGGUUACUUCUGCAGAAGUCUCUCCCUUCCCAACUCCUGAAUGGUCCUGCUCUGUCUCCUGUUGGGGCUGAAUCGGGACGCUCAGAAUCCUCGUGCUGAAGCCCUGCCACUCAGGGUUUUGGAGACAGGCUCUGUGAAGAGGUGGAAAGCAGGCUGUUAGGUGGCCCUGACCCCAUCUGACUGGUGUCCUUGGACAAGGAGGAGAUAAGGCCAAGGACAGGGCCUCUGGAGGAGCCACCCUGCUGACGCCUGGACCUGGGCCUUCCCGCCUCUGGAAUGUCUAUCGUGAGCCAUCGCCUGUGGUGUUUGGGUGCCGGCAGCCCCAGUGAAUGAACACGCCUGCUGACAGAAUGCCAUCUCUAAAGGGCGGAGGUUGUAUCUGAGGCUUAAAGGACACAACCGCAUGG